UACGUAGGGGGGCAAGCGUUGUCCGGAUUUAUUGGGCGUUAAAGCGCGUGUAGGCGGCCACGCAGGUCCGCUGUGAAAACUCGAAGGCUCAACCUCGAGCUGUCGGUGGAAACCGCGUGGCUAGAGUCCGGAAGAGGGGACUGGAAUUCCCGGUGUAGCGGUGGAAAUGCGCAGAUAUCGGGAGGAACACCCGUGGCGAAGGCGGG
rnacentral:rRNA from 1 species